UGGGGAAUUUUGGACAAUGGGCGAAAGCCUGAUCCAGCAAUGCCGCGUGUGUGAAGAAGGCCUUCGGGUUGUAAAGCACUUUUGUCCGGAAAGAAAUCCUUGGCUCUAAUACAGUCGGGGGAUGACGGUACCGGAAGAAUAAGCACCGGCUAACUACGUGCCAGCAGCCGCGGUAAUACGUAGGGUGCAAGCGUUAAUCGGAAUUACUGGGCGUAAAGCGUGCGCAGGCGGUUUGCUAAGACCGAUGUGAAAUCCCCGGGCUCAACCUGGGAACUGCAUUGGUGACUGGCAGGCUAGAGUAUGGCAGAGGGGGGUAGAAUUCCACGUGUAGCAGUGAAAUGCGUAGAGAUGUGGAGGAAUACCGAUGGCGAAGGCAGCCCCCUGGGCCAAUACUGACGCUCAUGCACGAAAGCGUGGGGAGCAAACAGGAUUAGAUACCCUGGUAGUCCACGCCCUAAACGAUGUCAACUAGUUGUUGGGGAUUCAUUCCUUAGUAACGUAGCUAACGCGUGAAGUUGACCGCCUGGGGAGUACGGUCGCAAGAUUAAAACUU
rnacentral:rRNA from 1 species